rnacentral:lncRNA from 1 species
UUCAUUCUCUUAAAAGACCAUUUAGAUAUGUAUGUUCUCUGCUACUACAAACUGAGCAGUAGCUUGACAGCUUUUCGUAGCUCGGUCGAGUAGGCAGCUGCGACAUUGGGGGAGAAGUACAUCGGUGCAGGGCAUGGCAAGGCUGAGUACUUGUUCGAUCUGAGAAGGACAUUAGCAAUCAGAGCAGGCUUUCUCUCCAUUACAGUUGGAGUUCAAGAGCGUAAGGAAGGUAAUCUGGUGAUCAAUCACUGUUACCUGUCACAAAACUCUAGAAAUAUCAUUGAGUACCAUUUACCACUAGCUAUGCUUGCCAUUUAAUAAGAUGUUUAUGUGAGCUUAAUGUCAUAUUAAAUUUUUUUCUACGAAAGCAGAUUACUGUGUGUUCCCUAAAUACAGUAGAAGAGAAAUAAAUCUUAUAAAACUAUGCUGAGACGAGUAGUACUUAUUUAGUCAGGUGACAUGUUAGAUAAAAUUCUACACCUAUUACAUCUUAUCUGACUUCUGUAUUUGUUAAAGAUAGCUGAACUAGAUUGUGUUCCAGGAAUACAAAACCAUGGAUGUUUUCCAUUUAUUAACUUGGCUUUUGGAAUUUUUUGAUGUCCCCUUCUCCUAUUAUUAACAACAUAUACCUACAGGGUUCUCUGUGCUGGUUUGCCAAAUCUAGACACUUCUUUUGUGGUCCAUGCUUCCUCUUUAUACUAUGCUUGCCUACAUGCGUAAUAUAACUCCUUUAUUCUCUUGAUGUGAUUUUCCUUUACAAGGAAGAAUACACACCAUGGGGACAAAAUAAGUAAAUUAGUAGCAUAUGGCAACUUUAUAAAUACUUCCAUGUUUCUGAUACAUCAUGAGGUCAUGUACCGAUAGAUUGCAAAAAUAAAAAGAAAAAUAUAUUAGCUAAAUCCAAAGAAUUUCCAUUCCAACAUGUCAAUUGUUUCUAACUUUAAUUAUUGGCAUGGUCCAUCUAUAGUGUCCUUUAAUUAUUAUUUAUUAGACCACAUUCAAUAUUGUUUUUUGGAUGCCUGCAACUUCCAAGUAAUUAUAUCAGCAUAUAUAUCUGUGUGUGUGUGUAGUGUACAUAUGAUUUGUAUUAUUGGCGUGGUCCAUCUGAUUUGUAUUUGUAGUCUACAAACAAGGCAUCCUAAUUAUUUGUUUGAACAUGCUACAGUCUUGUUUUCUCUGCCGUGUCUUCUCCUUUUCUUAAUAAUGUCACUGCCUUUGAUUUAUUUGCUCAGAUGUGCUAUUUUCUUAAUAACUUCCAUUAUUUCCUGCCCCAUAUAUACUGGUAUGUCCUUUAAAUAGUAGGCAGCAACAUGUGUGAUGGCUAUAACAUAACUCAAUGUUAGUUGGCUUAUAAUCUCUUAUCCCUUGAAAGACUUAGAAAAUGGCAUAUCAUGGGACAACAUAAGAGACCAUAUAGUAGAGGAAUAGAUUCAAGCAUGACAGGUCUUGGCCUCUCAACCUUUUCUGUUAUAUGUCAUGUUUCUAUUAAUUAGUUUGCUCGACAUGAUUCUGCCAAUGGACACUUUCAUUUUCUCUAACAGGCAGGAAUAAAAAUAUUUUUAAUGUGCAUAAAAAAUCAUAGCAGAGAUGUAAGUUGUGAUCCUAAAUUUUAACUUGAUGGUGCUGAAAUUACUUAAUUCUGGGUAGUGCAUGUCGAUAUGGCACUUGUGAAAAUUGAAGAUUUGGUACGGAGUCGCAAAAACUGCAAUACUCUUGGUAAUGCAGAUUUUUUUUGCAUGGUAACCUUUGUAAGUGACUAAUAUCCUGGCUAAAUCACUUCUUGCAUCAUGUCAAUGCAUUGUGUGUUAACAGUUCAUUUUGUUUUUCUUUGUAGAUUCAAAAGAUAAAUGGAUGAUUAUAUGGGUGUGUGUGGCAAGUGUACUACAAUGAUGACGAUGUUCCUGUUCAUGAUGAUGAAGACGGAUGCUUUUUAGUUUUAGUUCAAUUGUAGGGAUGAUGUUCCUGUGAACGAUGUUCCUCGAUUAUGUUUUAGUUAAGUUGUAGGGAUGUUGAUGGAUGUGCUCAAUUUAAGUUUCACUGUCAAGUAACAUUUAGAUUACACAUCCCAUUUAGAUUUGGAUGAUUUUCCUUGUGUAAUAUCCACCAUUGUAAUCCAACAGUUUUAUCUAAUAUAUGAUUUCUUCCUUUCAUG